rnacentral:rRNA from 1 species
GUGCCAGCAGCCGCGGUAAUACGUAGGGUGCGAGCGUUGUCCGGAAUUACUGGGCGUAAAGAGCUCGUAGGUGGUUUGUCGCGUUGUUCGUGAAAACUCACAGCUUAACUGUGGGCGUGCGGGCGAUACGGGCAGACUAGAGUACUGCAGGGGAGACUGGAAUUCCUGGUGUAGCGGUGGAAUGCGCAGAUAUCAGGAGGAACACCGGUGGCGAAGGCGGGUCCCUGGGCAGUAACUGACGCUGAGGAGCGAAAGCGUGGGGAGCGAACAGGAUUAGAUACCCUGGUAGUCCACGCCGUAAACGGUGGGUACUAGGUGUGGGUUCCUUCCUUGGGAUCCGUGCCGUAGCUAACGCAUUAAGUACCCCGCCUGGGGAGUACGGCCGCAAGGCUAAAACUCAAAGGAAUUGACGGGGGCCCGCACAAGCGGCGGAGCAUGUGGAUUAAUUCGAUGCAACGCGAAGACCUUACCUGGGUUUGACAUGCA